AAGACCUUGCGCUGAUUGAGCGGCCGAUAUCAGAUUAGCUAGUUGGUGGGGUAAAAGCUCACCAAGGCGACGAUCUGUAGCGGGUCUGAGAGGAUGAUCCGCCACACUGGAACUGAGACACGGUCCAGACUCCUACGGGAGGCAGCAGUGGGAAUUUUGGACAAUGGGGGCAACCCUGAUCCAGCCAUGCCGCGUGAGUGAAGAAGGCCUUCGGGUUGUAAAGCUCUUUCAGCCGGGAAGAAAACGUAUGGGUUAAUACCCUGUGCGGAUGACGGUACCGGAAUAAGAAGCACCGGCUAACUACGUGCCAGCAGCCGCGGUAAUACGUAGGGUGCGAGCGUUAAUCGGAAUUACUGGGCGUAAAGCGUGCGCAGGCGGUUUUGUAAGACAGGCGUGAAAUCCCCGGGCUUAACCUGGGAACU
rnacentral:rRNA from 1 species